AGAGAGAGACAUGCGCGCAUAUCAAUAAGCGGAGGAAAAGAAACUAACAAGGAUUCCCCUAGUAACGGCGAGUGAAGCGGGAAGAGCUCAAAUUUGAAAUCUUAAAGGGUUUCCCUUUACGAAUUGUAGUUUAAAGAAGUGUUUUCUGUUGAGGUUUUGGUAAAAGUUCUUUGGAAUAGGACAUCAUAGAGGGUGAGAAUCCCGUAUUUGACCUUUACUUUCAACUUUGUGAUACACUUUCAAAGAGUCGGAUUGUUUGGGAAUGCAGUCCAAAAUGGGUGGUAAAUUUCAUCUAAAGCUAAAUAUUGGCGAGAGACCGAUAGCGAACAAGUACCGUGAGGGAAAGGAUGAAAAGAACUUUGAAAAGAGAGUUAAACAGUACGUGAAAUUGUCAAAAGGGAAGCGUUUGACACCAGUGUUGUUUUUCUGAAAAUCAAUUAAAGAACUGUUUAUGCUAAGCUGUUUAGACUUUAUCAGCUAUCUGUUUAGUUUUGAGCUUUUCUUUAAUGCACUUUUCAGUUAACAAGUCAACAUCAAUUUCUUUUGCUGUAAAAAAGCUUGAGGAAGGUGGCUUGAGAUUCGUCUUAAGUGUUUAUAGCCUCUUGCCUAUGCAGUCGGAGAGAUUGAGGUCUGCAGCGUAGAUCCUUCGGGGCUAAAUGCAUUUGUGCUAAGUUAUAGCAUUUUAUAGACAACUUGUUGACUAUGAUUUGUCUUGUAGCUUACUCGCUUAUGUUAUUUUACCUACGCUUAGGAUGUUGACGCAUGAGAUAUACGC
rnacentral:rRNA from 1 species